UCGAGGGGUAUUGUUCUUCGGAAUGAGAGACCGGCGCACGGGUGCGUAACGCGUAUGCAAUCUACCUUUUGCAGAGGGAUAGCCCAGAGAAAUUUGGAUUAAUACCUCAUAGUAUGUGAGAAUGGCAUCAUUUUCACAUUAAAGUCACAACGGCAAAAGAUGAGCAUGCGUCCCAUUAGCUAGUUGGUAAGGUAACGGCUUACCAAGGCUACGAUGGGUAGGGGUCCUGAGAGGGAGAUCCCCCACACUGGUACUGAGACACGGACCAGACUCCUACGGGAGGCAGCAGUGAGGAAUAUUGGACAAUGGGCGCAAGCCUGAUCCAGCCAUGCCGCGUGCAGGAUGACGGUCCUAUGGAUUGUAAACUGCUUUUGCACAGGAAGAAACAACUCUACGUGUAGAGUCUUGACGGUACUGUGAGAAUAAGGAUCGGCUAACUCCGUGCCAGCAGCCGCGGUAAUACGGAGGAUCCAAGCGUUAUCCGGAAUCAUUGGGUUUAAAGGGUCCGUAGGCGGUUUAGUAAGUCAGUGGUGAAAGCCCAUCGCUCAACGGUGGAACGGCCAUUGAUACUGCUAGACUUGAAUUAUUAGGAAGUAACUAGAAUAUGUAGUGUAGCGGUGAAAUGCUUAGAGAUUACAUGGAAUACCAAUUGCGAAGGCAGGUUACUACUAAUGGAUUGACGCUGAUGGACGAAAGC
rnacentral:rRNA from 1 species